rnacentral:misc_RNA from 1 species
GUGUUCAUGCCCUCAUGCAAUCUCAGGGUCAACAUCCCCUGAAGCAAGCAUCAAUGGGAAUGAGUGCUUCUGGAGCAAGCCAGGCUAUAUAUGAUGGUGGUUUCCAGAAUCUUGCUGCUCAGCAGCUCAUGUAUUACCAGUAAUGUGCAGAAAUAUGGCUUGACAUUUCGUUGCCUUUCGUUUAGACUAGAUGAGUUUUUAUAAAUGUCUAGAUUUUCUUGUAUUCUGUUCUCGAAAUCAAGGCUUGGUAUGCGGUACUCACAUGUAAGAAUAUUAUGAGGUGAACAUUUUAUGUCUUUGAUUUCGUAAGGUGAGUGUAUACUGCGAGUUUU